rnacentral:rRNA from 1 species
AAUACAGAGGCCACGAACGUUAUUCGGAAUCACUGGGCUUAAAUGGUGCGUAGGCGGAUCGCCAAGUGUUCUGUGAAAGCCCCGGGCUCAACCCGGGAACGGCAGGGCAUACUGGCGGUCUUGAGGGAUCUAGGGGCUGACAGAACUGUCGGUGGAGCGGUGAAAUGCGUAGAGAUCGACAGGAAUGCCGAUGGCGAAGGCGGUCAGCUGGGGAUCAUCUGACGCUGAGGCACGAAAGCGUGGGGAGCAAACAGGAUUAGAUACCCUGGUAGUCCACGCCGUAAACGAUGCGCACUAGAUCGGUGCCGGUCUGACCCGGUAUCGGUCGACGUGAAAACGAUAAGUGCGCCGCCUGGGGAGUACGGUCGCAAGGCU